rnacentral:rRNA from 1 species
GUGCCAGCCGCCGCGGUAAUACGUAUGGGGCAAGCGUUGUUCGGAGUUAUUGGGCGUAAAGGGCGUGUAGGCGGCUCAUCAAGUCUGGUGUGAAAUCGGCAGGCUCAACCUGUCAUAUGCGCUGGAAACUGGUGGGCUAGAGUUCUUGAGGGGAAGCUGGAAUUCCAGGUGUAGGGGUGAAAUCUGUAGAUAUCUGGAAGAACACCGGUGGCGAAGGCGAGCUUCUAUCAGAGGACUGACGCUGAGGCGCGAAAGCGUGGGGAGCAAACAGGAUUAGAUACCCUGGUAGUCCACGCUGUAAACGAUGUGCACUAGGCGUGGGGCACGUACGUGCUCUGUGCCGUAGCAAACGCGAUAAGUGCACCGCCUGGGGAGUAUGCUCGCAAGGGUGAAACUCAAAUGAAUUGACGGGG